rnacentral:rRNA from 1 species
CCUACGGGGGGCAGCAGUGGGGAAUAUUGGGCAAUGGGCGCAAGCCUGACCCAGCAACGCCGCGUGAAGGAAGAAGGCUUUCGGGUUGUAAACUUCUUUUGUCAGGGACGAAGCAAGUGACGGUACCUGACGAAUAAGCCACGGCUAACUACGUGCCAGCAGCCGCGGGAAUCCGUAGGGGGCAAGCGUUAUCCGGAUUUACUGGGUGUAAAGGGCGUGUAGGCGGGACGGCAAGUCAGAUGUGAAAACCACGGGCUCAACCUGUGGCCUGCAUUUGAAACUGUAGUUCUUGAGUGCUGGAGAGGCAGGCGGAAUGCCUAGUGUAGCGGUGAAAUGCGUAGAUAUUAGGCGGAACACCAGUGGCGAAGGCAGUCUGCUGGACAGCAACUGACGCUGAGGCGCGAAAGCGUGGGGAGCAAACAGGAUUAGAUACCCCUGUAGUC